rnacentral:rRNA from 1 species
UGGGGAAUAUUGCACAAUGGGCGCAAGCCUGAUGCAGCCAUGCCGCGUGUGUGAAGAAGGCCUUCGGGUUGUAAAGCACUUUCAGCGAGGAGGAAGGUGGUGAGCUUAAUACGCUCAUCAAUUGACGUUACUCGCAGAAGAAGCACCGGCUAACUCCGUGCCAGCAGCCGCGGUAAUACGGAGGGUGCAAGCGUUAAUCGGAAUUACUGGGCGUAAAGCGCACGCAGGCGGUUUGUUAAGUCAGAUGUGAAAUCCCCGGGCUCAACCUGGGAACUGCAUUUGAAACUGGCAAGCAGAGUCUCGUAGAGGGGGGUAGAAUUCCAGGUGUAGCGGUGAAAUGCGUAGAGAUCUGGAGGAAUACCGGUGGCGAAGGCGGCCCCCUGGACGAAGACUGACGCUCAGGUGCGAAAGCGUGGGGCAGCAAACAGGAUUAGAUACCCCUGGUAGUCCACGCUGUAAACGAUGUCGAUUUUGGAGGUUGUGCCCUUGAGGCGUGGCUUCCGGAGCUAACGCGUUAAAGUCGACCG